GUCGGGCGUGGUGGUGGGCGCCUGUAAUCCCAGUUACUUGGGAGGCUGAGGCAGGAGAAUCACUUGAACCUGGGAGGUGGAGGUUGCAGUGAGCCAAGAUUGCACCACUGCACUCCAGCCUGGGUGACAAAGUGAGACCCUGUUUCAA
rnacentral:SRP_RNA from 2 species